rnacentral:rRNA from 1 species
AGAGUUUGAUCCUGGCUUAGGACGAACGCUGGCGGCGUGCUUAACACAUGCAAGUCGAGCGAUGAAGCUCUCGGGAGUGGAUUAGCGGCGGACGGGUGAGUAACACGUGGGUAACCUGCCUCAUAGAGGGGAAUAGCCUUCCGAAAGGAAGAUUAAUACCGCAUAAGAUUGUAAUAUCGCAUGAUAUAGCAAUUAAAGGAGCAAUCCGCUAUGAGAUGGACCCGCGUCGCAUUAGCUAGUUGGUGAGGUAACGGCUCACCAAGGCGACGAUGCGUAGCCGACCUGAGAGGGUGAUCGGCCACAUUGGGACUGAGACACGGCCCAGACUCCUACGGGAGGCAGCAGUGGGGAAUAUUGCACAAUGGGGGAAACCCUGAUGCAGCAAACCGCCGCGUGAGUGAUGACGGUCUUCGGAUUGUAAAGCUCUGUCUUCAGGGACGAUAAUGACGGUACCUGAGGAGGAAGCCACGGCUAACUACGUGCCAGCAGCAGC